GGAUUAGUGCAAGGUUUUAGUGAAGUAGAAACGAUUAUUAUAGGGGAUGAUCUGAAUGGACAUGUUGGGAAAGAUCGUAGAGGUUAUGAAGGAGAUCUUAGUUUUAGAUUUUGCUGUGGCUUAUGAUCUAUCCAUUGUAAACACAUACUUUGAAAAGA